rnacentral:lncRNA from 12 species
UUGAACCAGAUUCAAACAGACCUUUUUAAUGGUUCUUCUUGUCAUUUAUAGGUGACAGUCCAAGUUUUCUUCUUGAUCAGAUCAUUCAUGAUGUUUGAGAAAUCCUCCAGCACUUCUCCACAGUCACUGCCCAACAGCACAUCCUCCCAUCAGCUCAGCAGUGUAAACCAGCCAAGAGCACAUUAAACAUUUGAUUGGAUUCAGCUGGAUCUUUCUGCAUUGUGGGAAGAGCAGAC